CAGAAAGGAUCUCAUCGUCAUGCUCAGGGACACUGAUGUGAACAAGAGGGACAAGCAAAAGAGGACUGCUCUACAUCUGGCGUCUGCCAAUGGGAAUUCAGAAGUAGUAAAACUCGUGCUGGACAGACGAUGUCAACUUAAUGUCCUUGACAACAAAAAGAGGACAGCUCUGACAAAGGCCGUACAAUGCCAGGAAGAUGAAUGUGCGUUAAUGUUGCUGGAACAUGGCACUGAUCCAAAUAUUCCAGAUGAGUAUGGAAAUACCACUCUACACUAUGCUGUCUACAAUGAAGAUAAAUUAAUGGCCAAAGCACUGCUCUUAUACGGUGCUGAUAUCGAAUCAAAAAACAAGCAUGGCCUCACACCACUGCUACUUGGUAUACAUGAGCAAAAACAGCAAGUGGUGAAAUUUUUAAUCAAGAAAAAAGCGAAUUUAAAUGCACUGGAUAGAUAUGGAAGAACUGCUCUCAUACUUGCUGUAUGUUGUGGAUCAGCAAAUAUAGUCAGCCCUCUACUUGAGCAAAAUAUUGAUGUAUCUUCUCAAGAUCUGGACAGACGGCCAGAGAGUAUGCUGUUUCUAGUCAUCAUCAUGUAAUUUGCCAGUUACUUUCUGACUACAAAGAAAAACAGAUGUUAAAAAUCUCUUCUGAAAACAGCAAUCCAGAACAAGACUUAAAGCUGACAUCAGAGGAAGAGUCACAAAAGCUUAAAGGAAGUGAAAACAGCCAGCCAGAGCUAGAAGAUUUUAUGGCUAUUGAAGAAGAAAUGAAGAAGCACGGAAGUACUCAUGUGGGAUUCCCAGAAAACCUGACUAAUGGUGCCGCUGCUGGCAAUGGUGAUGAUGGAUUAAUUCCUCCAAGGAAGAGCAGAACACCUGAAAGCCAGCAAUUUCCUGACACUGAGAAUGAAGAGUAUCACAGGCUGGAGUGCAGUUGUGUGAUCAUGGCUGACUGCAGCCUCGACUUUCUGGGCUCUAGUGAUCCUCCCACCUCAGCCUCUCUACUAGCUGGGACCACACGUGUGCAACAUCACACCCAGCUUUCUCUUAGUUAUAAGAAAGAAAAAGACUUCUUGCAUGAAAAUAGUACGUUGCAGGAAGAAGUUGCCAUGCUAAGACUGGAGCUAGACAUAAUGAAACAUCAGAGCCAGCUAAGAGAAAAGAAAUAUUUGGAGGAAAUUGAAAGUGUGGAAAAAAAGAAUGAUAAUCUUUUAAAGGCUCUACAAUUGAAUGAGCUCACCAUGGAUGAUGAUACCGCUGUGCUCGUCAUUGACAACGGCUCUGGCAUGUGCAAGGCCGGCUUUGCGGGCGACGAUGCCCCCCAGGCUGUCUUCCCUUCUAUCGUGGGGCGCCCCAGGCACCAGGGCAUGAUGGAGGGCAUGCAUCAGAAGGAGUCCUAUGUGGGCAAAGAGGCCCAGAGCAAGAGAGGCAUGCUGACCCUGAAGUACCCCAUGGAGCAUGGCAUCAUCACCAACUGGGACGACAUGGAGAAGAUCUGGCACCACACCUUCUACAAUGAGCUGCGUGUGGCU